rnacentral:rRNA from 1 species
CCCGCACAAGCAGCGGAGCGUGUGGUUUAAUUCGAUGUUACACGAAGAACCUUACCAGGGUUUGACAUGCAAGUGGUAGGAAGCCGAAAGGUGACCGACCCUUCGGGGAGCUUGCACAGGUGCUGCAUGGCUGUCGUCAGCUCGUGUCGUGAGAUGUUCGGUUAAGUCCGCUAACGAGCGCAACCCUCGCUGUGUGUUAUAUGUGUCACACGGGACUGCCGGUCUUAAGCCGGAGGAAGGUGGGAUGAUGUCAAGUCAGCAUGGCCUUUAUAUCCUGGGCUACACACACGCUACAAUGGCCAACACAAUAGGUUGCUAAGCCGCGAGGUGGCGCCAAUCCAUAAAGUUGGUCUCAGUUCAGAUUGUAGGCUGCAACCCGCCUGCAUGAAGAUGGAGUUGCUAGUAACCGCAGGUCAGCUAUACUGCGGUGAAUACGUUCCCGGGGCUU